rnacentral:rRNA from 1 species
AUGAACGCUAGCUACAGGCUUAACACAUGCAAGUCGAGGGGCAGCAUUUCAGUUUGCUUGCAAACUGGAGAUGGCGACCGGCGCACGGGUGAGUAACACGUAUCCAACCUGCCGAUAACUCGGGGAUAGCCUUUCGAAAGAAAGAUUAAUACCCGAUGGUAUAAUCAGACCGCAUGGUCUUGUUAUUAAAGAAUUUCGGUUAUCGAUGGGGAUGCGUUCCAUUAGGCAGUUGGUGAGGUAACGGCUCACCAAACCUUCGAUGGAUAGGGGUUCUGAGAGGAAGGUCCCCCACAUUGGAACUGAGACACGGUCCAAACUCCUACGGGAGGCAGCAGUGAGGAAUAUUGGUCAAUGGGCGCAGGCCUGAACCAGCCAAGUAGCGUGAAGGAUGACUGCCCUAUGGGUUGUAAACUUCUUUUAUAUGGGAAUAAAGUUUUCCACGUGUGGAAUUUUGUAUGUACCAUAUGAAUAAGGAUCGGCUAACUCCGUGCCAGCAGCCGCGGUAAUACGGAGGAUCCGAGCGUUAUCCGGAUUUAUUGGGUUUAAAGGGAGCGUAGGUGGACAGUUAAGUCAGUUGUGAAAGUUUGCGGCUCAACCGUAAAAUUGCAGUUGAUACUGGCUGUCUUGAGUACAGUAGAGGUGGGCGGAAUUCGUGGUGUAGCGGUGAAAUGCUUAGAUAUCACGAAGAACUCCGAUUGCGAAGGCAGCUCACUGGACUGCAACUGACACUGAUGCUCGAAAGUGUGGGUAUCAAACAGGAUUAGAUACCCUGGUAGUCCACACAGUAAACGAUGAAUACUCGCUGUUUGCGAUAUACAGUAAGCGGCCAAGCGAAAGCAUUAAGUAUUCCACCUGGGGAGUACGCCGGCAACGGUGAAACUCAAAGGAAUUGACGGGGGCUCGCACAAGCGGAGGAACAUGUGGUUUAAUUCGAUGAUACGCGAGGAACCUUACCCGGGCUUAAAUUGCAUUUGAAUAUAUUGGAAACAGUAUAGCCGUAAGGCAAAUGUGAAGGUGCUGCAUGGUUGUCGUCAGCUCGUGCCGUGAGGUGUCGGCUUAAGUGCCAUAACGAGCGCAACCCUUAUCUUUAGUUACUAACAGGUCAUGCUGAGGACUCUAGAGAGACUGCCGUCGUAAGAUGUGAGGAAGGUGGGGAUGACGUCAAAUCAGCACGGCCCUUACGUCCGGGGCUACACACGUGUUACAAUGGGGGGUACAGAAGGCAGCUACCUGGUGACAGGAUGCUAAUCCCAAAAGCCUCUCUCAGUUCGGAUCGAAGUCUGCAACCCGACUUCGUGAAGCUGGAUUCGCUAGUAAUCGCGCAUCAGCCAUGGCGCGGUGAAUACGUUCCCGGGCCUUGUACACACCGCCCGUCAAGCCAUGAAAGCCGGGGGUACCUGAAGUACGUAACCGCAAGGAGCGUCCUAGGGUAAAACUGGUAAUUGGGGCU